rnacentral:rRNA from 1 species
GACGUAGGUAGCAAGCGUUGUCCGGAAUUACUGGGCGUAAAGGGUGCGUAGGCGGUUUCUUAAGUCUGAUGUGAAAUCCUGUGGCUCAACCACAGAACUGCAUCAGAUACUGGGUUACUGGAGUGCGGAAGAGGUUGACGGAAUUACUAGUGUAGCGGUAGAAUGCGUAGAUAUUAGUAAGAAGACCGGUGGCGAAGGCGGUCAACUGGGACGUAACUGACGCUGAGGCACGAAAGCGUGGGGAGCAAAC